AAGGUUGUCUUCAUCCUACACAAUAACAUUGAAAAUGAGACACAUUUUACAUAAAAUAAUAGUAAAAUGCAUAUUUAUGAUGUCGUGGAUGAAGAUUCGCCUGUCAAUGUUUCUUGCAUUUUUGGCGUUAAAGAUUAUAAGGACCGGCGAGGUGCCUAGGCAUGUGGCGAUUAUCAUGGAUGGCAAUAGACGAUACGCCACAAAACAAAACAUACCAAGAAAGGAGGGACACAUAAAAGAGUUUAAUAAUUUGCUUAGGAUAAUAUUGUUAUGCAAGGAUCUUGGUAUUGUAGAGAUCACAGUUUAUAUUUUUAGCAUAAACAAUUUUAAACGUACAAAAGAGGAAGUCGACGACAUCAUGAACAUUAUCAAAUGUUUCUUUGAACACACAAACGAAUUAGCAGACGUCGGAGUGUGCAUUCGUGUGAUUGGCAAUUUGUCUUUUCUUCGGGAAGACAUUCUAAAAUCAAUUGCUCGUGCUAUAAUCACUUCUAAAGACAAUAAUAAAUUAAUUUUAAAUCUUGCUUGUUCUUAUACAUCAAGAGAUGAACUUACCUAUGCAAUUAAAGAAAUAACAAUGGGUAAAAUGCAUAAUGAUAUCUUACUAGAAGAUAUUACUAAAAAUUUGAUAUCUGACUGUUUGUACACUUACAAAUCUUCAAAUCCAGAUUUAUUAAUUCGUACUUCCGGAGAGGUUCGACUUAUUGUUAGUAACUUCCUCAUGUGGCAAGUUUCUACUGCUUACCUCUACUUUACUAAUACGUUAUAGCCUGAAUUUGAUUUAUGGGAUUUGCUCCGCGCAAUCUUUUAUUAUCAAACAUGUUAUUCUGACUUGCAAAAAAUUAAAAACAAUUUGAAAAUUAUCGUGCCUAACACUAGAGCAUCCAUGUUCGUCGAUAAGUUGCACCGUAAACGCGAAAUUAUGAUCGAAAAAAUAUAUAAAUCAUCAGUUCAAUCUAGAAAUAAAUGA